AAGCAGUGUUGUAGGUGCACUUCCUUUUGAGAAGUGUUCGCACAAGACGUACGCAAGACACAUGAGAGCCAAUACUUUGAGGUUUAUGAAGCACAUUGUUUGUCCUCCUUUCUUCAGCGGAUCAUCUUCUGCACUAUCAGCAGCACUUACACUGCAAAUCGGACAUAUUGGCGAGCAUGGCUGCACGAAACCUGUGCUUAAUUCUGCUUCUACCACUGACUGCAUGCUCACAAGAUUUGGGAGGAGAGACUGUUGUGAAAACAAUUGGGAAACAACCAGAUGUCACUCAAAUAUGCACCAAUGAAACACAGAGAAUCAUCACACUGAUCGUUUGUACGAUCAGAACUCAGAGAAGUGGAGGAGAAAAUUGUAGUCUGCUGUAUUAUUAUGGACGGGCUUUGAGAACAAAUGUGACUCCAGGUUCACACUGAUGAAGGAAAAUCAGACUGGUUUCUCCACCUGAUCAAUUUAACAUCAGAGGACAGUGGGAGCUACACCUGUCAGUGUUCAACUCCUGAAAAAACAAAAAUUCUCCAUCUUAAUGUCACUGUGGAAGGUAAACAAGAACUAAGCAGCAGGUCUGGAACAGAAACACUUCCUCUUACACUGAUUUGUGUAACCGUGUUCAUCAUUGUGAGUUUAGUUAUCUUUGGAUUUAUUUACGCACGACUGUGCUGCAGAAAACAAGAACCAUCGCGUAGUCCUCAAAACACGAGGUCAGAGGACAUUGAGCCGUACAGCACCUACAUAAGGAGAGAUACUGGAACAUAUUCGACUGUUCAAAUGCACGACUCUAAACAGAAUACUAACAGUUCACAUGUGUCAGCAGACAAAACUGAGACAGUCUACGCAGAAGUACAAUAAUAUUAUAUCACAUUUUUCAACACUGACAAGUGUAGUUUGGCAAAUUCACCACAGGGUGGCAUCAUUUGACUGACAAAUAAAGAACUGACCAGAAUCAGCUUCAUCAUCUCAGCAUUUUAGCAUUGUGUUGUUAUGUAAAUAUUUUGUUACAAACUGCAGUAAAACUUUAUCCAUCA